rnacentral:rRNA from 1 species
AUGAGCAUCAUGAGCGCCGCCAAUGGGAAGAGCCCCAUAGUGGUUGGGCCCUGGGGAGGGACAGGAGGAUACCCCUGGGACGACGGCGUGUACUCGACGGUGUGCCAGAUCAUGAUCACCCAUGGCGCAGCCGUCGACUCGAUAAGAAUCCAGUAUGACCUCAAAGGGCACUCGAUCUGGUCGCAGACGCACGGGAGCACGGAGGACGGGUCUGAAACAGACAAGGUGAAGCUGGAUGUUCCCGGGGAAACCCUACUGUCCGUGAGCGGCCACUACGGAUCGGUCUGCGGGAGCCCGAUCAUCAUAAGAUCGCUGACGUUCCAGAGCAACCGCUCCAAGUACGGGCCCUUCGGCACCGAGGACGGCACGCCCUUCUCGCUCCCGGUGAGCAGCGGCAAGAUCAUCGGCUUCCAUGGACGGUCCGGGUCGUACCUCAACUCCAUCGGCUUCUACCUGAAGCAGGUCCACGUUCCGAUCCCGAGUCCCCCGAGCUACCCAGCCUCGCCGCAGAUCCCGACGGCGGCGGCGUACAGCAGACAUGGCUACACCGUCGCCGAGGUCGAUGAUGAGCCUGAGCACGACAUGGCCCUCGCGGUGCGGGACCGGGCCGACGGCUACGCCGUCUACGGCGCCGGUUACCCUAAGCAGCAGUACGCGCAUCCGUCCCCGGACUACCACGAUGGAUCGAUCAUGAACAAGAUGGUCUCGUACCCUAGCUCGUACAGGGCGGCGGCGAUGAGCGGGCCGGAGACGCACGGGCCCUGGGGCGGCAGCGGCGGCACCAUCUUCGACGACGGCGUGUACACCGGCGUGUGGCAGAUCAACCUGACCCGCGCGGUGGGGGUCACCUCCAUGAAGGUGCUGUACGACCGGCACGGGCAGGCGGUUUGGGGCAACAAGCACGGCUUCAGCAGCGGCGUCCCGCCCGACAAGAUCGCGUUCGACUUCCCGACGGAGGUGCUGACCCACAUCACCGGCUACUACGGCCCGACGAUCAUCAUGGGCCCGACGGCGGUGCGGUCGCUGACGUUCCACACCAACCGGCGGCGCUACGGGCCCUACGGCGACGAGUACGGCACAUACUUCUCCACCAGCUUCGCCGACGGGCGCGUCGUGGGGUUCCACGGCCGGGAGGGGUGGUACAUCGACGGUAUCGGCGUGCACGUGCAGCGGGGCAAGGUGCCGUCGUCCUCCCUCAGGCGGGCCGCCAGCAGGAGUCCGUCGCCGGCUCCGCGGUCCGACUACGAUCCGGGCGACGUGGACGAGGAGGUGCCCUACGCGGCCAUGGUGAAGGAGCCGGCGGCGGCGGGGCCGGGUCCCUGGGGCGGGCCGGGGGGCCGGGCGUGGGACGACGGCGUGUACGCCGGCGUGAACCAGGUGUACGUGACGCGGGGCGCCCUCAUCGGCUCCAUCCAGAUCCAGUACGACCGCGGCGACCGGUCGGAGUGGUCGGCCAGGCACGGCACCUCCGGCCACAUCACGCACCGGGUGAAGCUGGACGCGCCGCACGAGGUGCUCACCUGCGUGCGCGGCUACUACAACGCCGACCCGGCCGAGGGGCCCCGCGCGCUGCGCUCCAUCACCUUCGUCAGCAACCGCGGCAGGUACGGCCCGUUCGGGGACGAGGUCGGCACCUACUUCUCGUCGCCGGCGACGGCCGAGGGGAAGGUGGUCGGGUUCCACGGCCGGAGCGGGCAGCACUUGGAUGCCAUUGGGGUGCACAUGCAGCACUGGCAAGGGGACCGCCGGGCUGGGCCCAAAUACGUGCUAUCCAAAUACCUCUUCUGA